rnacentral:lncRNA from 1 species
GAAAAGCAUAAAGCAAUCCUAAGUUGGAAAAUUGGAUUUACUUUUUAGAAUUCUGUAGCAUAUCUUAGCCUGUGCUUGGCUCAUUUUUAUAAACAUUUAAACUACUUUUUAUCCACACAUUUUGUGGGAUCCACAAGUAUUGUCCCAUUUAUCCACAACUCAUUUUUGUCUAUUUAUAACCAAAACUGUUUAUAAACUUUUUCCAAACAUGCUUUUAGUUUCCUGUGUGAUAUACUUCUCUUUGUACUACAUUCUUAGAUGCACUCUUUAUUGAUUUUAUGAAGCCUAUAUUUUGCAACAUUCUGCAGGUUGGGCUAUCUGCUUUCGACGCAGAUGCAUCUCUUGAAGUAUUGGACCAUCCAAUUUUGAAUCUCAUCUAUUACAUGGUAAACUGCUUUUAUCAAGUUUGCCAACCUUUUCUUCCCUAGUUUUGUGUUCACACACAGCUUAUGCAAAAACAGCUGGUCGAGAUUCUUCCUUCAGCACUUGUGUUGUUCAUACUGCGCAAGCUACCUCCCAAAAGAGUAUCAGCUCAAUACCAUCCCAUCCGCUAGCCAUGGAUCGUUUUUGUUGGCAGUGGUAUUGAGUUGGGUUCCCAAGGUUCCAGUUUAGAGAUUAGUGACCUUGAAGCGAUUGAAGUGGAGCCUGGAAUCCAGAUGUCUUAUUUUUCUGGAGUGGCUUGUCCUCAGAAGUUCUUUUUACCUGUAUGUAUAUGGAGCUCAAGCUGAGAGAGAUUCAGUUCUUGUUUUGAUUUUGUGGGUUGGAAAAAGUUCACAAUUUGCCAGCAUUUUAUGGAAGUUAGCACGUGAUGAAAUUAUUCAUCAUUGUAAUGUGGAGAUUUUGUUAGAUUGGAACUUUUUGAGUACUUGGUCGUUUAUAAAUAAUAUCCACCACCUGCAAGGUGAUUAGGUGGGUUGAAGUACAACCCAUUUGUUGUAAAGCUUUACGGUGCUUGGGGCCUCGGGAAAUAGUUACAUCAGCUCAAGUGAAAUUGUAUAGAUUCCUAUCAAUCCCAAGCCUGGGUCACAUCCAGGAUCACUGUAAUUUUGCGUUCCACUAGGGAAUUGUAAGCUAUAAUUUGGCAUGGCCAGAUGGUGUGAUGGCGGUAUGUCCACAUAUCUGAUCAAUUCUGCCGAAUAUCAAUCUCACUCCAACGUCCGCCUUAUGCAGAA